UACGUAGGGUGCAAGCGUUAAUCGGAAUUACUGGGCGUAAAGCGUGCGCAGGCGGUCUUGCAAGACAGAUGUGAAAUCCCCGGGCUCAACCUGGGAACUGCAUUUGUGACUGCAAGGCUGGAGUACGGUAGAGGGGGAUGGAAUUCCGCGUGUAGCAGUGAAAUGCGUAGAUACUGGGAGGAACACCGGUGGCGAAGGCGGCUACCUGGACCGGUUCUGACGCUGAUGCGCGAAAGCGUGGGUAGCAAACAGG
rnacentral:rRNA from 1 species